ACUCCAAUUAAACAUCCACCUUGGUUUGCUAUUUCCAUUCAUCUUGUUUAUAGUUUUUCAUUUACUAACUCUGCUUCAUUUUAUAGCAAAUUGAUUUAUGUAAAUGGUGUUAUUCUAACAAUCUAUGAUGGCAAGAUCAUUUGUCAUUUUAAGUUUGAUUGGUACAUAAAAAUCGUCCAACACAAUGGCGAUCAGAAGUCAAAAUUCUUUACCAACCAUCAUGAUGAUUCAAGGAGACAUGAAGUUACCAUAAUUGAAGCCAAGAGGUUGAACAUUUCGUGUGAAUCAUCUAUUGGAGAAGAGCAUGAGGAUUCAAUCCUUCAUACACCAAGAAAGUCCCCCAAUGAGAAACUACUUCGAUUUGAGGACAAAUCGCUCUAAAGAAUGGAAGGAUGACACGUUCCAAACUAGCUCAAACUUCCUUCAUGACUUGAUUAUUCCAUGGACGUUUUUCAUUGCCCUUCCUAAGGAGGAACAAUGAGCAUAAGCCCCAUGAUGGACGGUUUAGUGGAGCAUUUCCAAGACAUUUUCAGCUCAUAGAACACGUCAAAAAGGGUUAUUAGAAUAUGGCACUUGUUUGGCAGCAUGUUGAAGCACUUGAGGAGAUAUAUCCAGAUUAUAACACGACAGUAUGGUUAAUGGAGCAUGAAGGGAAACUUGUUGAGCAUUAAGGGAACAAGAACAACUCACCAAACCAUUCAGCAAAUUAUGGCAGAACGUGGGCACUAAGAGUUGUUUAAAUUCGGUUGAAAGUGAACCAUAUCCACCAACUUUUGUCUUUGAUAAAUAAUCCCCACUUAAUCAAGCAUGAGAUGAGGACAAAGUCACGCCACUAGCUGCUGCAAAUUAUAUAUAUAUAAUUGCACUAUGGGAACAACCCAUGUGCAUGGAAGAUUGCUUGUCUCCACUUGGUUUUGUCUACACUACACAUUCCUUGAAGGAAAUUCUGCCAAAGCACUUCUCUCCCUACCAUUGACCGAAUAUAUGCAUGAAAAUGUGCUAAAAAUUAUGAUUAAAUUAUGUGCCAAAGCUAGAAACCUCAACACGCACUAUUCGGCCAAAAAUACAUUAGAACCUUCGGCCAUGCAUAUUGUAAAAUUCAGCCAUGCAUAUUGUAAAAUUCAGCCAUGCAUUUCAAGUCCUAUAAAGUGGACUUUCAUAUUACAUUGUAAGAUAACAUUUGAAUUUGAAUUAAACUUGAUAUUUUUCUCUUA